UACGUAGGGGGCGAGCGUUGUCCGAAGUUACUGGGCGUAAAGCGCGCGUAGGCGGUCUUUUAAGUCUGGUGUGAAAGGUUCAGGGCUCAACCCGAACAGUGCACUGGAUACUGGGAGACUUUGAGUAUGGGAGAGGAGAGCGGAAUUCCUGGUGUAGCGGUGAAAUGCGCAGAUAUCAGGAGGAACACCGGUGGCGAAGGCGGGUCUCUGGGCCGAUACUGACGCUGAGGAGCGAAAGCGUGGGGAGCGAACAGG
rnacentral:rRNA from 1 species